CCGUAGGUGAACCUGCGGAGGGAUCAUUACACAAUAAAAUACGAAGGCCGUUCGCGGCUGGACUAUUUAUUACCCUUGUCUUUUGCGCACUUGUUGUUUCCUGGGCGGGUUCGCUCGCCACCAGGACCACAAUAUAAACCUUUUUUAUGCAGUUGCAAUCAGCGUCAGUAUAACAAAUGUAAAUCAUUUACAACUUUCAACAACGGAUCUCUUGGUUCUGGCAUCGAUGAAGAACGCAGCGAAAUGCGAUACGUAGUGUGAAUUGCAGAAUUCAGUGAAUCAUCGAAUCUUUGAACGCACAUUGCGCCCUUUGGUAUUCCAAAGGGCAUGCCUGUUCGAGCGUCAUUUGUACCCUCAAGCUUUGCUUGGUGUUGGGCGUUUUUGUCCCCCCCAAAAAGGGGACUCGCCUUAAAAGGAUUGGCAGCCGGCCUACUGGUUUCGCAGCGCAGCACAUUUUUGCGCUUGCAAUCAGCAAAAGAGGACGGCAAUCCAUCAAGACUCCUUCUCACGUUUGACCUCGGAUCAGGUAGGGAUACCCGCUGAACUUAAGCAUAUCAAUAAGCGGAGGAAAAGAAACCAACAGGGAUUGCCCUAGUAAC
rnacentral:rRNA from 1 species